GGCGCGACUGGUCCGAAGGUGGAGGGCGCUGAGAGGUUAGGAGGCUCUGUUUGACCUGCUUUACCUGAACGGGACCUAAAGAAAGGUUUUGACGGGUUGGAGCUACGCCCUUCUGCUGCUCCACGAGACCUCUUGCGAGCAGAUGCGGAUGCCCCGGGCUUGUAGCCUGGAAUCUCCAUGAGGGCAAAGACUAUAGUGUCCACUGUUGCAUUUCCAUCUUCUAGAACAUGGCAUGGCCUGUGGCCGUUGCCCAGGACACUUGUUGAAUGAAGGGAUGAACGAUGCGCCGUGUUUCAGGAGGCGGAGGCCGCCACCCUGCUGAGGGGAGUGUAAAUUCCUACCACCUCCUCGGAAAGCAAUGUGGUGAUAACUACUGAAAUUGAUGACAAAGCUCUGGACACAGUGACGGAUUGUACAACAUUGUGAAUGUGCUUCAUGCCACUGAACCGCGUAGUACAUUUUAUAUUUUACCACCAAAAAGCCCACAGCCUUGGAGCUGCCACAGCAAUGUAAGAGAUCAACUUUUUUUACUUCCAAAAUUGACUUCUUGAACACCAUUUGUAGGAGAUUUGUACAAAGUAGCCUGUGAAUGGAAUAUUUUAUUUGCAAAACUGACUCCUGGUUGGCAGCCGGCCGGCCCAGGAGUGCAGACUUACCACACAGCCACAGCUACAGGCAAGAUGACCCGAUCCUGUGGGGACAUCUGUUUUCCUGGGUGCUUCUGUCCCUUUCACAGUUGCUCUCAGAACCUGGGAAAAUGUAUACAUUUCCCAAGAAAUGCUGAGAAGGAAUUCCUACGUGUGCACACUAGAAGGAACCACAAGAGGCACCAGGAAGAGGCACUAGAAGAAAAUGGAGCAUGAAA